rnacentral:rRNA from 1 species
AUUGAACGCUGGCGGCAGGCCUAACACAUGCAAGUCGAGCGGAUGAGAGGAGCUUGCUCCUCGAUUCAGCGGCGGACGGGUGAGUAAUGCCUAGGAAUCUGCCCAGUAGUGGGGGACAACGUUUCGAAAGGAACGCUAAUACCGCAUACGUCCUACGGGAGAAAGUGGGGGAUCUUCGGACCUCACGCUAUUGGAUGCGCCUAGGUCGGAUUAGCUAGUUGGUAGGGUGAAGGCCUACCAAGGCGACGAUCCGUAACUGGUCUGAGAGGAUGAUCAGUCACACUGGAACUGAGACACGGUCCAGACUCCUACGGGAGGCAGCAGUGGGGAAUAUUGGACAAUGGGCGCAAGCCUGAUCCAGCCAUGCCGCGUGUGUGAAGAAGGCCCUCGGGUCGUAAAGCACUUUAAGUUGGGAGGAAGGGCUUACAGCGAAUACCUGUGAGUUUUGACGUUACCGACAGAAUAAGCACCGGCUAACUUCGUGCCAGCCGCCGCAGUAA